GGGUUGUGAGGUUAAGCGACUAAGCGUACACGGUGGAUGCCCUGGCAGUCAGAGGCGAUGAAGGACGUGCUAAUCUGCGAUAAGCGCCGGUAAGGUGAUAUGAACCGUUAUAACCGGCGAUUUCCGAAUGGGGAAACCCAGUGUGACUCGUCACACUAUCAUUAACUGAAUCCAUAGGUUAAUGAGGCGAACCGGGGGAACUGAAACAUCUAAGUACCCCGAGGAAAAGAAAUCAACCGAGAUUCCCCCAGUAGCGGCGAGCGAACGGGGAGGAGCCCAGAGCCUGAAUCAGCAUGUGUGUUAGUGGAAGCGUCUGGAAAGGCGCGCGAUACAGGGUGACAGCCCCGUACACAAAAGCGCAUGUGCUGUGAGCUCGAUGAGUAGGGCGGGACACGUGGUAUCCUGUCUGAAUAUGGGGGGACCAUCCUCCAAGGCUAAAUACUCCUGACUGACCGAUAGUGAACCAGUACCGUGAGGGAAAGGCGAAAAGAACCCCGGCGAGGGGAGUGAAAAAGAACCUGAAACCGUGUACGUACAAGCAGUGGGAGCCCCACCACUAAGCCAGUGGUGAACUCCACAUACGCAUCCUUUGCUGAGGAUACGGUUAACGGAGCGAAAGCGACGUUCAACCUCAAAAGAAGCAGAGGGGGCUUAGUGGUGGGGUGACUGCGUACCUUUUGUAUAAUGGGUCAGCGACUUAUAUUCUGUAGCAAGGUUAACCGUAUAGGGGAGCCGCAGGGAAACCGAGUCUUAACCGGGCGUUAAGUUGCAGGGUAUAGACCCGAAACCCGGUGAUCUAGCCAUGGGCAGGUUGAAGGUUGGGUAACACUAACUGGAGGACCGAACCGACUAAUGUUGAAAAAUUAGCGGAUGACCUGUGGCUGGGGGUGAAAGGCCAAUCAAACCGGGAGAUAGCUGGUUCUCCCCGAAAGCUAUUUAGGUAGCGCCUCGUGAACUCAUCUCCGGGGGUAGAGCACUGUUUCGGCUAGGGGGCCAUCCCGGCUUACCAACCCGAUGCAAACUGCGAAUACCGGAGAAUGUUAUCACGGGAGACACACGGCGGGUGCUAACGUCCGUCGUGAAGAGGGAAACAACCCAGACCGCCAGCUAAGGUCCCAAAGUCAUGGUUAAGUGGGAAACGAUGUGGGAAGGCCCAGACAGCCAGGAUGUUGGCUUAGAAGCAGCCAUCAUUUAAAGAAAGCGUAAUAGCUCACUGGUCGAGUCGGCCUGCGCGGAAGAUGUAACGGGGCUAAACCAUGCACCGAAGCUGCGGCAGCGACACUAUGUGUUGUUGGGUAGGGGAGCGUUCUGUAAGCCUGUGAAGGUGGCCUGUGAGGGUUGCUGGAGGUAUCAGAAGUGCGAAUGCUGACAUAAGUAACGAUAAAGCGGGUGAAAAGCCCGCUCGCCGGAAGACCAAGGGUUCCUGUCCAACGUUAAUCGGGGCAGGGUGAGUCGACCCCUAAGGCGAGGCCGAAAGGCGUAGUCGAUGGGAAACGGGUUAAUAUUCCCGUACUUGGUGUUACUGCGAAGGGGGGACGGAGAAGGCUAUGUUGGCCGGGCGACGGUUGUCCCGGUUUAAGCGUGUAGGUGUGUGUUCCAGGUAAAUCCGGUUCACUUUAACACUGAGGCGUGAUGACGAGGCACUACGGUGCUGAAGCAACAAAUGCCCUGCUUCCAGGAAAAGCCUCUAAGCAUCAGGUAACAUCAAAUCGUACCCCAAACCGACACAGGUGGUCAGGUAGAGAAUACCAAGGCGCUUGAGAGAACUCGGGUGAAGGAACUAGGCAAAAUGGUGCCGUAACUUCGGGAGAAGGCACGCUGACAUGUAGGUGAAGUGAUUUACUCAUGGAGCUGAAGUCAGUCGAAGAUACCAGCUGGCUGCAACUGUUUAUUAAAAACACAGCACUGUGCAAACACGAAAGUGGACGUAUACGGUGUGACGCCUGCCCGGUGCCGGAAGGUUAAUUGAUGGGGUCAGCGCAAGCGAAGCUCCUGAUCGAAGCCCCGGUAAACGGCGGCCGUAACUAUAACGGUCCUAAGGUAGCGAAAUUCCUUGUCGGGUAAGUUCCGACCUGCACGAAUGGCGUAAUGAUGGCCAGGCUGUCUCCACCCGAGACUCAGUGAAAUUGAACUCGCUGUGAAGAUGCAGUGUACCCGCGGCAAGACGGAAAGACCCCGUGAACCUUUACUAUAGCUUGACACUGAACAUUGAGCCUUGAUGUGUAGGAUAGGUGGGAGGCUUUGAAGUGUGGACGCCAGUCUGCAUGGAGCCGACCUUGAAAUACCACCCUUUAAUGUUUGAUGUUCUAACGUGGACCCGUAAUCCGGGUUGCGGACAGUGUCUGGUGGGUAGUUUGACUGGGGCGGUCUCCUCCUAAAGAGUAACGGAGGAGCACGAAGGUUGGCUAAUCCUGGUCGGACAUCAGGAGGUUAGUGCAAUGGCAUAAGCCAGCUUGACUGCGAGCGUGACGGCGCGAGCAGGUGCGAAAGCAGGUCAUAGUGAUCCGGUGGUUCUGAAUGGAAGGGCCAUCGCUCAACGGAUAAAAGGUACUCCGGGGAUAACAGGCUGAUACCGCCCAAGAGUUCAUAUCGACGGCGGUGUUUGGCACCUCGAUGUCGGCUCAUCACAUCCUGGGGCUGAAGUAGGUCCCAAGGGUAUGGCUGUUCGCCAUUUAAAGUGGUACGCGAGCUGGGUUUAGAACGUCGUGAGACAGUUCGGUCCCUAUCUGCCGUGGGCGCUGGAGAACUGAGGGGGGCUGCUCCUAGUACGAGAGGACCGGAGUGGACGCAUCACUGGUGUUCGGGUUGUCAUGCCAAUGGCACUGCCCGGUAGCUAAAUGCGGAAGAGAUAAGUGCUGAAAGCAUCUAAGCACGAAACUUGCCCCGA
rnacentral:rRNA from 1 species